GGCAGUAGUGGCUCAAUGGUUAAGGCCCUGGGUUGCUGUUCUGAAGGUCAGGGGUUCAAGCCCCAGCACUGCUG